rnacentral:tRNA from 1 species
GCAUUGGUGGUUCAGUGGUAGAAUCCUCGCCUGCCACGCGGAGGGCACGGGUUCGAUUCCCGGGCUAAUGCA